CACGGCCUAGCUUACCGACUCAGUGUUUGGGGCAUUCCCUUUCGUUUUGUACAAAGGUGAGGGUCUCACUAGGCCCACCCUUGUCCCAGCCCUGCCACCACUUCGUUUGCUCUGUGAUCUCUGGGAAGUCACUUUCAUUCUCUGCGUCUCAGUUUCCUCCUGUAUCAAGUGGGGAUGGCAACAAUAGUACCUAUCUCACAGAGUUAUUGAGAAGAUCAAAUACACCGGUAAGUGUGAAAGCAUUUAUCCCAGGGACUACGUACUCACUAGAACUACACUCCUGGGGCGACAUGCGCAUGAGGUGACCUCUUCCGCUGCUUGGCAUCAAUCCCCUGUUUCACUCACUUACCCACUCAACCAACAUCCCUUCAGCAACUAAUCUGUAAAAGACAAUCCACUAGGCACCAUACAGAAUUGAAAAAUGUGUAAGACACAUUUAAAAUUUAAAAUCUACCCACAGAUAGAGUUAGGCUGAUUUCAGCUGCAAAUGGCAGGAUACAGGAUGAAAAACAUUGCUUACUAAAUAGAGGUUUUUUGUUUUUUGUUGUUUUUUACAGAACAGGACAUCUGGAGACACAGGGGUACAGAAUUAUCCAAUCCACAAGAUCAAUGGCCUCAGGACUCAGGGGCAGCUUCUCUGUGCUGCCCUUGACCAUUUCCUCAGGAUGGCACCAUGGUAGCGAAGCCUCCGAACACAGCCUCAGCUGGCGGCAUGCAAAAGCAAGAGGAAGGGGGUGGUGUGCAUACACAUCAGUGAAGGAGAACAACCCAAGCUGGCGUCAUGAAUGUGAACAUCCCUGCAUUUCCUCUCUUUCCCUGGUUUCACAACAUCCCACCAAUCGCCGAGAGCUUUUGUUUGUACAAACACCUGAACCUUACAAGUCAUUUUCAUAACAACUUCUACCCUGCUUUGGUUCCAAAACUCCCCUUUCAUAUGGGAGAUCAGUAUUGAUGUUGUCAUUUACCUGCUGACAAAAAAUAAGUCUCUGAAAUGUGAGGUCAUUUGUACCCUGUCACGCGAGAGAGUGGCGGAUCGGAAAGCUGGAUCCAUCCUCAUGCCCGGCCUGAACAGACUUUUCUAUUCCUCUUAUCUGAAAACACAAUUUUCUUGAAGGAAAAAAAAUUCAAAAGACAGAGAACGCAUGUGGAGGAGCUGGGCCUUCGUCUGUAAGGGGGCCCGGUGAAGGGUUUGGGUCACAGGCUCAGGUCAGGCAUCAUGUGUUUCACCCAAAACUGCCUCAUUUGAGUGUACCAAGCCUUUAGAUCACACUGUCAGCUACUGGAUGCACUGGGGGCGAAGAGCAAAGUAUCUCUGUGGAGUGACCUCCCCCCCAGACACUCCCCUGGGGCAGGGGACGUUCUACAGGGCCCCUGACAGGGCCUCUCAAUAGUCUAGCUUAAAAGAGGCCUAGGCAAAAUAAGAAGCAGGUGCUCAGAUUGGGCUGGGUCAGGAUAAACUGGCUACAAAGGACUUCUGGGUACUGGGUACUGGGUACUGGGCCUGGGUACAGUCGGGAACCCGGAAUCCAGAAGGGUGGUGGGUGAGGUGAAAAUCCAUGGAAAGGUAGAGACUGUUCAUUGAGAAAAGCAGGUCUCAAAAUGGCAGGAAUAGAACCAGCUCAUUUUGGUACAAAAUAUGUCUGUAGAAAGGAUACACAAAAGCAUGGACAGCAGGAAUCUGGGUUGGGGGACGCCGGCUCGUCGGUUAAGCCUCUGCCUUUGGCUCGGGGCGUGAUCCCGGAGUCCUGGGAUCGAGUCCCCGCAUUAGGCCCCUUGGAGGGAACCUGCUUCUCCCUCUGCUUAUGUCUUUGCCUCUCUCUCUCUCUCUCUCUGUGUGUGUGUGUGUUUCUCAUGAAUAAAUAAGUAAAAUCUUAAAAAAAAAAAAAAGAA
rnacentral:lncRNA from 12 species